rnacentral:rRNA from 1 species
AUACGUAGGUGGCAAGCGUUGUCCGGAAUUAUUGGGCGUAAAGCGCGCGCAGGCGGUCCUUUAAGUCUGAUGUGAAAGCCCACGGCUCAACCGUGGAGGGUCAUUGGAAACUGGGGGACUUGAGUGCAGAAGAGGAAAGUGGAAUUCCAAGUGUAGCGGUGAAAUGCGUAGAGAUUUGGAGGAACACCAGUGGCGAAGGCGACUUUCUGGUCUGUAACUGACGCUGAGGCGCGAAAGCGUGGGGAGCAAACAGGAUUAGAUACCCUGGUAGUCCACGCCGUAAACGAUGAGUGCUAAGUGUUAGGGGGUUUCCGCCCCUUAGUGCUGCAGCUAACGCAUUAAGCACUCCGCCUGGGGAGUACGGACGCAAGACUGAAACUCAAAUGAAUUGACGGGG